UGUAGCUAAUGACGAUAUCACCUGAAUGACAGCAGAUGCAGUUCAUUCUUUUAAUUGCAGACGGAGCUCUCAAACUAGUUCAUCUUCUUCUAUGUCGCUCGGAUUCCGAUCUAAGUCGCUCGGAUUCCGAUCUAAGUCGGUUGGAAAAUGACUUUCUUUGUUUUGUCUUCAUAUAAGAAGUAGAUUAUAACAUCGAUAAUUUUGCUACGUGUUGUUCUUGUCACACUGAGGGAUUUUGACUUGUUUACCUUUCUGGAGUAAUUUAGUGUAUCCCAGUGGAAGAAAGAAAUAGUCGAGAUUCUUGUUCGACAGCUUCUACCUUCAGUUAGUCUUUCCUGAAACUUUUCCUUUUCUGGACUCGUUCUCCUUCAAAAUACUCACAGCAAUGUUGCAAUGGAUGGGAGGUUCCAGGCGGAAAGUGACGACUUCAAGGAAGUCUAUGCACAAGAGGCAAAAGCAAUACUUUGAGCAAAAGAAAAGGCAGCAACAGCAGCAGGCAGCGGGGUCGGAGAGCUAUACUGCUGAUGGAAUGAACCUGUGCGUCCAGCAUCACAAUGAACACCGAUCACUGGAUGUUCUCAAUUUGCUAAACUUGUCGACGGCUUCUCAAGAAUGCAAGUCUACUUGCCCUAGUGGAAAGGAAGAUCUAGAGGUCAGUGGUUCAGAGGUAAAGUACUACAUCAAAAAAGGACCAUCAACAAUUCUUAACCACACAGAUGCUCCGGCCAACUCUGUUGAGUGUAAGAAAGAAAGAAGUCCAUCACAUUGCCAAGAGGAAGUUGUAUCUCCAAAGAAUCUACUUAGCGUCCACGAUGAUAAUCACAUUGUUCUGAACGGUGCUGGUUCUAAAGUUGAUCUCUGGAAGACAGCACCUGAGCACCAGCUCUCUGUUCUUGAUUUGGUUGGUGAUGAGGAGCCAAAUGGUAAUAAGGAAAGUGGCCCGAUGUAUGAAGCUCACGCUGCAUUUUCAGUUGAAGGUUUGGGUGAAGUGGGAACAGAGACACCAGUCCAUUCACCGCCACAACCUGGCAGAUAUUUUUCUAUUGGUCGCUCCUCACCUUUGAAGGCUACAAGGCAACUCAAUAUGUCGAAGAACCAUAACUAUCUGCUGGAUGACCUUGAACUAGACGUGGAUAAAAUGAUGAAAGAUAUCAAUAUGCCCCCGAGUGGAAGUUCUCUUGACUUUUCAUCAGGCAAAAUGCAUUCAUAUAGCAAUCCCAAUCAGAAAUUAGCUGCUGUCAGAUACUGCAUGCAACAUGAUGGUCAUGGUAGUCAAAUAAAUAGUUUACUUGGUGAAAGAAGUAUCUUUAAUGACCUUGAAAACGGCAAAGAAGAUAUAUGGGAUGCUAGGUCUUGCUUCCUAGCUGACAACUUGCUUGAUGAGAGGGAAUUUGAUGCAUCUAGGAAGAACUGGUCACCUGAAAUAGAUGGUAAUUCUCUGGAUUUUUGGAAAUAUGGGAACUCUGUGAUGUCAGAUUAUGCUUUUGAAGGCCCCGAUCUACUGAAGAAAAGGGAUGCUACAACGGCAAUGGACAGAUUCAACAUCAUAGAGCCACCUGCUUCAUUUUACAAGCACCAAACAGCAGAAAAUGAUCUUGACUUCAUGAAUUACAAUGGAGCAAGACGCCCUACACCAGGGAGAAAGUUUGGUUUUGGGGAUGUAACCAAGCAAUCGGAUUGGUUUUGCUUUGCAACAGAUGAUGGAAGAGAUAAUAUGUGCAUGCUGAGCAGCGAAGAGUCCUGCUCAUCCAGUGCAGUGAGGGGCGAAGUAACCAAUAAUUCACAGUCGAAUUCAGCAGCAAGACGGACUAGAAGACGCAGCAAUGCCUGUAUUAGCCCUCGAAAAAAGUAUGGUGUGAACAGCAUUUUUGGCAAAGAGACGGGACAUAAAAGCAAGGAUGAAAUUGGACAAGGGAAUGAUGUGCGAGGGUCAGGAAAAUUUCCGAAUGUGUCAAAACUAUCCCACUCUAACAAUCCCCUCCAGAAAAAUUUAGGGCCAAACGAUAGUUGGUUAUGUGAUGAAGGCUAUACUACUGGGAAAGUGAAUUCAGGUUUCGGUCCUUUCUCUCGAGAUUCAGAGACAAAAAUUCCAUCCUCAGGCUCCAAGUUUUGGACUGGAGAUCCUCCCAGUGAAUUUCCCAUUCCUGGAUCAGAUAUUGAUGCGAGAUCUUCAUUAUUUGGUAGAUCUAAACUUGGAGGAAGUUUGGCAUGCUCACGCUCUGGCAGUUUCAUCGCUGAAAAGUUACCGGUUCACGAUUCCCCUGUAUUCUCGAAGUUUGAGUUUGGGCCAACGGUGCCAGAUUUGUCUCCAGAUUCUAAAUUGGAAGGCACAACUCCAGAAUCUUCCUUUGUGGCUGGAUAUCAUGGUGAGAAACCCUUUCCUGAUAUAUCAACAGAUGAAAGUGCUAGCAAAGAUGUGGAAAAUAAAGCAAAAAUCCAGCCACAUGACCGUGAAGAAUUGGAGCUCAUGGGAGAAGUUCAAAUUGGCAAUGGCUUAUUUUCAGAGAAUGAAAAGGCAAUAGAUGCUGCAAGUUCCGGGGGCAACAAUUGUGGAUGCAAAAACGCGGAAGAUGAAGCUCCAGAGCCGAUGCAGAAUUUAAAAACAACAUAUUCGCCUCACCAUGCGGAGCAGGCAUCAAGGUCUCUUAUAAUCUCUGACAAACUUGAAAGUAUCGUAGAAGAACAGAAACUCCAUUGCCGUAAUGAAUCUACAAUUCCUUGUCAGAAUGGGGAUAAAGUAAUUUUCUCCCUGACGGAGGAAUCUAUUAUACUCAAACGUUGCCGCAGAUAUACAAGUUAUGAGGCCUCAGGAAAGAAGGCUAAUAAGAAAAACCGAGAGCAAAUGCGACAACUCAUCUUGUCAGGUGAUGAUGCUUGAAAGCUACGUUCUUCAGCUUCUUUCUGUGAAGAAGGUACCGAUGCAUGCAUCUGCACAGGAUACCACAAAGAAGGUAGGUGCUCAUCUUCCCAUGCAAAGCAUCCCUUUGUGAGGAUUGCUGAACUUUGUUAACUGACAUCUUAACUUCGUAACAUCGGACAGCUGGAGAGGCUUCAGCAUGAAUUCUUGAGCUCCUUCAUCCAGGCACCUGUUCAAGCAAAGAAAACAUAAGAGGUAACAAAAAAAUAAUUUUUGGGAAACAAGAAAAUUAAGAAAACACCAAAUUUUAUGGGUUUCUAGUAGUGGUUGUUACUUCUUAAUUCGUGUAGGGACAUUCUCGGAUGACACUACCACCACUGGUAUAUGCUUCAUGGAAGGUGACUCCUGCUUGCAGAGAAAGAUCUGCUGGUUAGGCAGUUAUAUACAUAUGAAUACUUACUCAGUUACUCUGCCAUCAGCUCUAUACAUUCUUCUAAUAAUACUCUAAUGCUUUUCACUGCUAUGUAAUGAUUAAUCGAGUGGGAAAUCAUGAAUAUCUGUAGAGACUGAGAUCUGAUGCAAUCAAAUACAAAUAUGAUGAGAAGGGUUGUGUCA